rnacentral:rRNA from 1 species
CGCGGCCUAUCAGCUUGUUGGUGAGGUAAAGGCUCACCAAGGCAUUGACGGGUAGCUGGUCUGAGAGGACGAUCAGCCACACUGGGACUGAGACACGGCCCAGACUCCUGCGGGAGGCAGCAGUGGGGAAUCUUGCGCAAUGGGCGAAAGCCUGACGCAGCAACGCCGCGUGGGGGAUGAAGGCUCUCGGGUUGUAAACCCCUUUCAGCAGGGACGAAAUUGACGGUACCUGUAGAAGAAGCCCCGGCCAACUACGUGCCAGCAGCCGCGGUGACACGUAGGGGGCGAGCGUUGUCCGGAAUUAUUGGGCGUAAAGGGCUCGUAGGCGGUUCGGUAAGUCAGAUGUGAAAGGUUGGGGCUCAACCCUAAGACUGCAUUUGAUACUGCCGUGACUAGAGUCCGGUAGAGGAGUGUGGAAUUCCUGGUGUAGCGGUGAAAUGCGCAGAUAUCAGGAGGAACACCGACGGCGAAGGCAGCACUCUGGGCCGGUACUGACGCUGAGGAGCGAAAGCGUGGGUAGCAAACAGGAUUAGAUACCCUGGUAGUCCACGCCGUAAACGUUGGGCACUAGGUGUGGGACCUUAUCAACGGGUUCCGUGCCGUAGCUAACGCAUUAAGUGCCCCGCCUGGGGAGUACGG